rnacentral:rRNA from 1 species
UACGUAGGAGGCAAGCGUUGUCCGGAGUUACUGGGCGUAAAGGGCCCGCAGGCGGUGGAGUAAGUUUGGAGUGACAGUUCCCAGCUUAACCGGGAAAGGACUUCGAAAACUGCUCGACUUGAGGACUGGAGAGGAAGGCGGAAUUCCGGGUGGAGCGGGUGAAAUGCGUAGAAGAUCCGGAGGAACACCGACGGCGAAGGCAGCCUUCUGGAAAGUACCUGACGCUGGAGGG